rnacentral:rRNA from 1 species
GACGAACCGUGCGAACGUUGUUCGGAAUCACUGGGCGUAAAGGGUGCGUAGGCGGGUCUUUUAAGUCAGGGGUGAAAUCCUGGAGCUCAACUCCAGAACUGCCUUUGAUACUGAGGAUCUUGAGUUCGGGAGAGGUGAGUGGAACUGCGAGUGUAGAGGUGAAAUUCGUAGAUAUUCGCAAGAACACCAGUGGCGAAGGCGGCUCACUGGCCCGAUACUGACGCUGAGGCACGAAAGCGUGGGGAGCAAACAGG